rnacentral:rRNA from 1 species
GAUGAACGCUGGCGGCGUGCCUAAUACAUGCAAGUCGAACGAACAGACGCGGAGCGUGCUCCCCUAACGUUGGCGACGGACGAACGGGUAACACACAGAUAACCGACCUAUAAUACUGGGGGAGCUUCGAGAAGCCAGAGACAGUUCCGGCCAAUAUGGUCAACCGCAUGGUUCAAUAAUGGAGGACGGGUUGCCUUUCAUUUAUAGAAGGGUCCGCGCCGCAUUAGCUAGUUGGUAAGGUAACGGCGUACCAAGGCAACGAUGCGUAGCCGACCUGAGAGGGUGAUCGGCCACAGUGGAACUGAGACACGGUCCAGACUCCUACGGGAGGCAGCAGUAGGGAAUCUUCCGCAAUGGGCGCAAGCCUGACGGAGCAACGCCGCGUGAGUGAUGAAGGUCUUCGGAUCGUAAAACUCUGUUAUUAGGGAAGAACAAAUGUGUGAGUAACUAUGAAGCGCUUGACGGUACCUAAUCAGAAAGCCACGGCUAACUACGUG